CAUUACAAGUAGUUACACCUUACAGAAUUUACAGUCUAGAUUAAAAGAUAUUAGAUCGAUACUAUGAGUUAACUCUGCUUAUAUGUUUAAUACCAUAUAAACACAGCAACAAUUCAAACGAAAACGUUCAAUACAAUAAACAAAUUGCAAUACAUUCAUUUGUAAUGAUAUACAUAUUUAAAAUUGUUCAGGAUAUUCUGUCUUCUAUUUAAAUUUCUCCAAUGAUCACUGAAAUAGACAGUUUGCCAUUAACUGUCUUGACAUUCCUGAAUUUCCACAUUGUUGUCUGAUUACUUCUAAAAAAUCGUUAAGCUUAUUAUACAAUAGUCGUAUAAAUAUAUUGAAAUAAGAAAAUUAGAAUCACAUUACUCUCAAGAAUACUAAAAUAGCAGCAGCUGACAACAAAACAUCAAAUUCACAUCUUCAAUGACAAUUGACAGGAAGAUCAUACUUGCCAACUUCAUAUAUUGUUACUCUAGAAUGUAAUGUGUUGUUCAUAACACAAUACAGUUAAUGUUUCAAAACUUGCGGUAACUUAAUUUCAUUGAACUUGACUUCUUGAUAUAGAAAUAAUAUAAAAUAAUGAAAAAUUUUGAACCAAACACGCAUACUAUAAAAUGUAAUGUCUUUUCCUGUGGUUACGGUAUGUACCUAUCGAGAUGCUUAUGAAAAAUAUGUUUUGUUAACGAAAACCACAUUAUUAUGUUAAACCACGACAUUUUGUACUUUAUUUCAAUGUUACUUUAAAAUAAAUGUCUGACACAGUA